AAGAAUGCCAGGUACUUAUGAAUCAUAUUCAUUCAUUUAUGUUCCUUUUAAUGCAUGGUGAAUACAUUAUAGAAAUAUAUAUUUUUUGUUAGACGUUUAUAAUAUAUAGUUAGUUCUUCCAAAUUUGUACUUAAUAAGAUUUUAAUCUCUCUAUAAUUUUUGUUUCUGGUGUUGUUCGUAUGAAUUUAUUUACUUUCAGGCAUAUUUGACACUAUCAUAUUUUAAUUCAAAGUUACUUUAUUUCAUUUUGUUUUGUUUUUCUCUAUAAGCAGAGAAAAAUGCAAAUUUAUUUUUCAUGUAAAAGUUAAGAAUCUCUCCUGUAAUAGCAAUGGGACAUAGUAGUUGUUUUUGUUGGGUUCAAGUUAAACGUGUAAAUGGGAAAUGGAGGGAAAAUAGUAGAGGCAAAGUGAGUCCACUCUAAAAUGGAAAGUGUGCUCAAAAUGAAGAAAGUCUACUAAAUUCUCUCAUAUUGAUGGGAGAAAGAAACUUUCAUGUGUUUAUAUUGAGAAACACAUUUUCACUUGGUAAGUGAGACAAGAACUAAAAGGUGUGUCGCGCCAUUGUUGUUGAUCGCUCAACUUCGAAUUUGAAAAAUAAUCGAUCAAUGAGAUUAAUCUUUUUGAAUAAAAUUUAUUUGAAACUUGGGAAGAAAUCCAGUCCGAAAAUCCGAAGAAAAAACGCAAUAGUUUUGCUCCUCCAUUAAGGUGCAUGCUUCUGCAUGCAGAAACGAUGCUGAAAGCUGCUCGGAAGAGACACAACUCUUCGAGUAAGUUUGGAUGGUUUUGGCUGUACGGAAAAGAAACACUAUUUUGAAUGAAUAGAUAUGACUAUUCAAAAAAGAUACACCUUUUCGAUGAACCAUUGCCACCUUUCAGAAGGGGCACUUCAUGGCUAUAUAAACCUGCAUUUUUCCACAGGUUUAAUAACGAAAAAAUUUCUGAUUUACAAACACUUCUUGUCUUCUAAAAUACUCCGUGCGAUCAUCUCCUGUUGAGUGAGUUAGAAGAGAAUUCGAUCGUUUGAGGUACCGCUACUGUCGAGUUGUUAAGCCAUUUUAUCCUGGGAGAAAAAUUUUGCAACCUCGGAUACUUAAGGGGAAUUAUUUCCUUAAGGACACUCCAUGAAUUCGGAGGACUUGGCAUAUUCUGCUUCAUCUAUUUUUCUUAAAAAAUACAGAAUAGCACACUUCUUUGAAAGGUCGUUCUGACCUUGUGUUGAAAGUGUUAGAAAACUUCGUUAGUGUUCUUGAAACGUCUUGAACUUGUGUUGAAGUUUACUGAACUAAUAUACAGAUUUUGUGUAUCCAAAACAACAGUUUUUAUUUUAAUACUUAUACAAUUUAAUUUUUUUAAAAGUGAAAUGUAUGUUUAAAUAUAACUUUAACUUCUAAAAUAUUAUUGUUUAGAUGUAACUUUAAAUACUCAAAUAUUGCUUUAUUAAUCAUGUUCAAAUGCUUAUGAAGUUCGUGAACAAAAUUUACAGCGAAUUUUCUAUGUGAAAUUGUUGGAGAGAGGUAUUACAAAUGAACUGCUCCUCAGUGGAGGCCUUGGUCCACUUCGAUCAACUUGCUUAAUUUUAUAGGUUGUUACCUAUUGUAAGACCUCCGUUCACCAAGCAAAUGGAGUAGGCAUUUGACCAUGGAUUUAAAAUAUUUAUCACUUUAUUAGAAUUUUUUGAAGUUUAAGAUAGAGUUGUGAAGAAUCUAAUCAAACACUUAGUUUGCAGGAUCAUUAAAUUCAUUUUACUAGUCAGAAAAUGUAAUCACAUACAAAGACAAACAACACCAUAUUAUGUCUCAUUUAAAAAUUGUAUUCAUUAGAGAAGAUUAUUUCAAAUGUUGGUGGAGAUAACUUUGAUCUUUAUAGGAAUCUUCUCGCUAAAGUUCUUCACACAAGAAGAAGAGAAUUGUUUCUUAUCUUAGAGAGAGAGGGCGAAAGAAAAACAAAACAAACAUACCUUUUUUAUGUAUUCUAUUUUUAUCUUUUAUGAAGAAGCACAAUUUUUUAGAUAAUUUCCCAACAAACAUAACUCUUCUCUUUUAUUAAUUACUAAUUUAAAUAUAUAAAUAAUUAGAUAUUAUUUAAUAUGAAUUCGAAUCGAGCCACAUAGAUAAUUCAGCCCAAUUUCCUUUAAGUUGUGUUUGAUUAUAAUCAUUGUAAAGUAUAUUUGGAAUAAUGUUCCUCUUUGAAAAUAUUAUUUCUAAAAAACAUGAAAUAUGGUUUGUAUUCGACAAUUUCCCAUCAAAAAAAUGCUAAUAAAACCAUCCAAUUUGACUAAUUUUCUUUUAAAUAGACAUCUAAAUCUACUAGUGUAAAGGGUAAUAUCCCAUAGAUAAUUACAUAAUGUUAUAGAUUGAAUUCUAUAUAAGAGCUACUACACUCUAGUACAGUCAACUUUAAAUACUAUUAUAAUUUAUAAAGAUCUAUUUUCUUGAUUAUUGUUGCACGUAAUGAUAAUUGGUGCUUGGCAUCAUACAUAAGAUUUUACAAAAAUUGAAUACUUGAGGAGACAAAAGUUGUUGAGGGAUUUUAUCAAAGGAAAAAUCUGUAACUAUUUCUGUUGGUAUGUAUAUUGAUUGAUGUUGAUAUAAAGAUGGAGUUGUUUUGUAAAAAUAAAAAAUUGAAGAGAAAAUUUUAAAAUAAGAAAAAAUUCCAAAAGUGAAGGAAAAUGGAUUUAGAUAUAAUUUCAAGUUAAAUUUAGAUUUUUUAUUAUCAAUUUUCACCGAACAAAACAAAUACUCCCCUUGUUCGCUUUUAAUGCCACUAAUUUCCUAAUUAUAUUUCUAUUUUUAUUUAUUAUUUUUGAUAAAUAAAAAAUAAUUUUCUUUUUAUAUUUUUCCCUUAAUAUUUAUUUUUAUUUUUUCCAAAUUAAUUUUCAGACAUAAUAUAAAUAUCAUUUAAUAGAGGUAUUUUAGUAAAAUAAUUAUGUUCUUAAUUAUUUUUUUUUUUAAUAGGUGUACUAAGUCAAAAUAUGACAAAUGAAAAGGAACGAAGAAAGUAAUUUUUAUGAUCAAAAGGAUCCAUAAUAACUCUAGGAUUUAAUAUACAGUACAACCAAAAUCAAAGAAAUAAUAUCAAAACAAACUGUUCACCUAGUACACAUGUCUAACACAUUCACUGCUAGCUAUACCUAUCUCUUUUUUGUUUUCCAUCCGGUGUUUGGUAUCCGCAUUGGAGUCUUGAUUAAUCUAGAUCGCGUAUUGCAGGGCCCAUCAAGGUGACAGCGCUCCCAACAGAGUUUCCUCCAUACCUAAGGUCGAAUUUUCGACAUCUGAUUAAGGAUGAAGCAGCCUGAUUCAUUGCACCACAACCCAUGUUGGUACUAGCUAUACCUACAAAAAUACACAUUUAUUACACAAACUACCCCAACUCAACAACCAAAGUUCAAACUAAAGUUCAAAGUCUUUGUUUGAAUUUUCUGAGUAAAUUCCUCGUAUUGUCACUCAACUUAGGAAAAUAUCUCAAUAAAGUCAUUUAUCUUUUUUUUAUUUCAAUAAUAUCAUUGAAUUUUAUGCAUUUUUAAAAAAAAUCAAUAAUUGUUAAAAAUGAUUCAAAAGAUGAGAAAAAAUGAUUAAAAAAGUCCCUUAAGUUUGAACUUUGAAUUUAAAUGAUUCUUAUUAAUUAACAAUAUGGAAUAUCAGUAAACUUUCAACUAUAAAACUUAGUGAUGAAUACAAUCUUCUCUCAACUUCUAACUGCGAUAUUAAAUCUAAUGACCCCCACCAAAAAUUGCAAUUAAAAUUGUUAGAAAUAAGCUUAUAUGUACUGUAUUUAUUUGGAAACUUAGGAGUUCAAUAAUAAAAUAAUAUUCUAUAUUUAUUCAUUUUAGAAUUAAUAUUUAUUUUUGAUAAAAUAGUUCAAGUUAGUUGUUAGUUUUUUCAUAAAGAAGACGAUGAAUUCCUGCAAAUAAAAAAAAAUUAGGGUCUCUAGCUAGUAGAAGAACCAUAUAUAAAUAUUUUAAAGGAUUUUUAUUUUAAAAAAUAAUUCAUAUUAACGGAUAUCAUGAUAAUAACAUCAAUCAUUCACUAUCAAAUAAAAUUAGGUGAUUUUAUAUAACCAUUUCGUAACUUAAAAAUGUUUUAAGAUUUCAAUAUUAUUUUUAUCAAUCUUGUGAUAUUAUUUCAGAGAAAAUUAUAUCGCCUCAUCAACUUAGCUAUAAAAACUAAAUAUAUUUACCAAUUUGGACAAUAACUGUACUUCUUGUUUAUUUCAUUUAAAAUAUAACUACCUAUUUUAAGCUUUAAUUUAACAUUCUUUGUCUUUUUAAUUCCUUUUUAAUAUUAUGAUUUGUAUCAUUUUAAAUUAUGUUAUGCACUUAUUGAUAAAAUAUAUUAAAAACUAAUUUAAGAAGUACAAAGUAAAAAUAAUUGAAGGCCUAUUAGUAUUUCAUGUAAAAAUAAGGACUAUUUAAAUUCAAAUUUCAAACUUGAUGGACAAUUUUGAUCAUUUCUUGAGUCACUUUUAACAAUUGUUAGUUUGUAAGGAAAAUGGACAAACUUGAAUGACAUUAUUCGAAUAGAAAAAAAGAUAAAUGACUCUAGUGAGACAUUUUGUUAAGUUGAAUGACAAUAUAAGGAAUUGACUCGAAUUUUCUUUGUUAUUCCAAUCUCUUCAAAGGUAUCAAUUACUCUCUUCGUUCUCUUUUAUUUAUCAUUGAUUUUCUAAUUAAAUUUCUAUUUUUAUUUAUUAUUUUUGAUAUAUCAAGAAAAAAUAAUAUUUUUUAUUUUACCAUUAGUAUUAAUUUUUUUCUCCAAACUAAUUUCAAUAAAUAAUAUAAAUAUUAUUAAAUAAAGGUACUAUGAUAAAAUAACUAUAUUAUUAAUUAUUUUUCUUAAUAAAUAUAUUAAGUUAAAAUAUGACAAGUAAAAAUAAAGAAAAGAAUUAUACUUUUAUCCUUUCUAAUUUCGAGGAGGAAUGGCCAGGAAAAUAUGAGAGAACAGUUUUGAAUGUUGUGAAAUAAGGCUGAUCAAUCGGAUUGCCUUCAACACAGAUUAGUUCUUACUUGAUGUUAGUUUGGCAAUCCCAGCGAAUAAUCCAAACUAAAAUAAAAGAACAAAACAAAGGAAUUUUAUUUGCUAAAAAUGGAUAAGUCCAUAGAUAAAAAUGGACAAAGAGGAUUUUGUUGGUUGUUGCAUUUAAAUGCACACACAAAUAUACGCAAUCGUAUAAUUAAUAUAGUAAUUUUUACGAUUCAAAUGUCAAAUUCAUAGAAACUUAUGGUUUAACUGUCUACUUAAUUAGACUAAAUCUAAUUAUUUAUUUAAGUAGUAAAUUUUAAAGAUAAAUUUAUAAAAUAAUUAAAUGAAAAAAAUAAUUAAUGAAUAAUUAACUAAGAGAAGAAUAGAUUCUUAGGCAAUCAAUGAAUAAAUCGAUCUAGAGUUAUGGAUUCAGUAUCAAUCAUGUCGAAUAUCAAUUGCAUCAACACAAAUAUAAACCUGCAUUUUUCCACAGGUUUAAUAACGAAAAAAUUUCUGAUUUACAAACACUUCUUGUCUUCUAAAAUACUCCGUGCGAUCAUCUCCUGUUGAGUGAGUUAGAAGAGAAUUCGAUCGUUUGAGGUACCGCUACUGUCGAGUUGUUAAGCCAUUUUAUCCUGGGAGAAAAAUUUUGCAACCUCGGAUACUUAAGGGGAAUUAUUUCCUUAAGGACACUCCAUGAAUUCGGAGGACUUGGCAUAUUCUGCUUCAUCUAUUUUUCU
rnacentral:lncRNA from 1 species